rnacentral:lncRNA from 1 species
UGGGAAAUACCAACACGCUAAAAAUAGAUUCACGCAAUGACACCGACGACAUCGCCUGGAGCUCGGUUUUCAUUCGACUCAGAUCGGGAAGGCUGAACUGAACGCGAGAAUGUCUGGGAAAGGACAAAAGCUGGUUCCUCCCCCUGCCUCCCCGCCUUCCCCGUCUUCUUCAAGGAAACCCAACAUCACCCCCUGUUCAAAGGCCACGCCCACAGGAUCCACGGCCAAGACCAAGAUCUCCAGUUUACAAACCUGCUUUCCAACCAAGAAGCUGAGUUAGCAGUUUUCCGAAGACUUCUUCCUCUCUGCAAAGAAAAUAUCAAAACUGAAAGGACCAUGCAGACAUUUUCAUGUAGGCCGGUUACCUUGGCCGUAAUAUUGCAGGAAUGUUGCUAAAAGCGGCCUUAAACUAAACACACUCACUCAUGAAGUCCUAAGCAUUAACAAUUUUGAUUAAGAUUGUCUUCGGACAAUUCAGAAGUCCGAAGUCCAGACCUUAAUCAGCUUUGCUGAAAGCACAAAUGAAAUUAUACAUAUUUCUUAUUUUCGUAGUGUUAGAAAACGGGUGAAUAAACUGGGGAUUUAAAA